GAGCGGACGGUCGCGCGGAUCUUCAGAGAUUAGAGUUUGAUCAUGGCUCAGGACGAACGCUGGCGGCGUGCCUAAUACAUGCAAGUCGAGCGAACAGAUGGGAGCUUGCUCCCUGAUGUUAGCGGCGGACGGGUGAGUAACACGUGGGUAACCUGCCUGUAAGACUGGGAUAACUCCGGGAAACCGGGGCUAAUACCGGAUGCUUGUUUGAACCGCAUGGUUCAAACAUAAAAGGUGGCUUCGGCUACCACUUACAGAUGGACCCGCGGCGCAUUAGCUAGUUGGUGAGGUAACGGCUCACCAAGGCGACGAUGCGUAGCCGACCUGAGAGGGUGAUCGGCCACACUGGGACUGAGACACGGCCCAGACUCCUACGGGAGGCAGCAGUAGGGAAUCUUCCGCAAUGGACGAAAGUCUGACGGAGCAACGCCGCGUGAGUGAUGAAGGUUUUCGGAUCGUAAAGCUCUGUUGUUAGGGAAGAACAAGUGCCGUUCAAAUAGGGCGGCACCUUGACGGUACCUAACCAGAAAGCCACGGCUAACUACGUGCCAGCAGCCGCGGUAAUACGUAGGUGGCAAGCGUUGUCCGGAAUUAUUGGGCGUAAAGGGCUCGCAGGCGGUUUCUUAAGUCUGAUGUGAAAGCCCCCGGCUCAACCGGGGAGGGUCAUUGGAAACUGGGGAACUUGAGUGCAGAAGAGGAGAGUGGAAUUCCACGUGUAGCGGUGAAAUGCGUAGAGAUGUGGAGGAACACCAGUGGCGAAGGCGACUCUCUGGUCUGUAACUGACGCUGAGGAGCGAAAGCGUGGGGAGCGAACAGGAUUAGAUACCCUGGUAGUCCACGCCGUAAACGAUGAGUGCUAAGUGUUAGGGGGUUUCCGCCCCUUAGUGCUGCAGCUAACGCAUUAAGCACUCCGCCUGGGGAGUACGGUCGCAAGACUGAAACUCAAAGGAAUUGACGGGGGCCCGCACAAGCGGUGGAGCAUGUGGUUUAAUUCGAAGCAACGCGAAGAACCCUUACCAGGUCUUGACAUCCUCUGACAAUCCUAGAGAUAGGACGUCCCCUUCGG
rnacentral:rRNA from 1 species